CCCCCCCCCCCCCCCCCCAAAUCCAUAUUCUUUACUAAUUUCAAUGAACAAACUUUCCACCACUGUCAUUCAAGUCUAGCACAUACAGACACAAGACUUGACAAAACACGUGUACUCUGACAGAUUUACUUUCCAAUGAAAACCGAAAUCUAACACCAAAUCUUGUUAAGUUUUAAAAUGUUUUGUUUUUUUUAUAAAAAGUAAAAAAACAUAUAAAUGACAAGUCUGACUUUUCAAAAACUUAAUUUUUUUCUUUAUAGCUGUGACGUGUGUCACGCAGGUUUGUUUAGUUACUUUUUUAGUACAAAAAAAAACGUUUUUAUCCCCAACGGUCAACAGUAAACGAGUUUGGUUACAAAUGUCUAGCAUAACAACCAACCGUCUUUAUUUUUCCAUCACAAGCCAUAGAGACACUUCAGAUAGGUCAGGGGAGGGAGGAUAUCUCUGCUGUUGUUAGGAGAAACUUGUGUGUGUAGGUGUGUUGCCAUUAGUUACGAGGGACUCUAUUCUUAAUACAACUAACAAUCUUCAAAUUAGUUUUGUACCACAAUGUACAAAAAAAAAAGCCCGACAUCCUCCGGACACUAUCUUAUAAUUUACAGACGUUCCAUCAAAAUAGAAGAUAAUGUCGUCCUGCGCUUAUUUAUUUGCUAAUCAUUUAAUGAUUAUUAAAGAAAAGUUGAUUUCAGAGAAAAAAACAAAUUCAUUAAGACCUCGAAGUAGGCGGUUUUAUUUAUAUCUUUGUAGGUUGUCUUGGUUGUAGGU